AACGAACGCUGGCGGCAGGCCUAACACAUGCAAGUCGAGCGCACUCUUCGGAGUGAGCGGCGGACGGGUUAGUAACGCGUGGGAACGUGCCCAGAUCUAAGGAAUAGCCACUGGAAACGGUGAGUAAUACCUUAUACGCCCUUCGGGGAAAGAUUUAUCGGAUUUGGAUCGGCCCGCGUUAGAUUAGAUAGUUGGUGGGUAAUGGCCUACCAAGUCUACGAUCUAUAGCUGGUUUGAGAGGAUGAUCAGCCACACUGGGACUGAGACACGGCCCAGACUCCUACGGGAGGCAGCAGUGGGAAUCUUAGACAAUGGGGCAACCUGAUCUAGCCAUGCCGCGUGAGUGACGAAGGCCCUAGGGUCGUAAAGCUCUUUCGCCAGGGAUGAUAAUGACAGUACCUGGUAAAGAACCCCGGCUAACUCCGUGCAGCCG
rnacentral:rRNA from 1 species